rnacentral:rRNA from 1 species
UAGGGAAUAUUGCGCAAGGGGCGAAAGCCUGACGCAGCCAUGCCGCGUGGAUGAUGAAGGCCUUCGGGUCGUAAAGUCCUUUUCUGAGGGAAGAACUGCCGGGGGAGGAAAUGCCCUUGGCUUGACGGUACCUCAGGAAUAAGCAACGGCUAACUCCGUGCCAGCAGCCGCGGUAAAACGGAGGUUGCAAGCGUUGUUCGGAAUGACUGGGCGUAAAGGGAGCGCAGGCGGCCAAGUCAGUCUGAAGUGAAAGCCCGGGGCUUAACCCCGGAAUAGCUUUGGAUACUGCCUGGCUUGAGUGUGCGAUAGGAAAGCGGAAUUCCAGGUGUAGCGGUUAAAUGCGUAGAUAUCUGGAGGAACACCGGUGGCGAAAGCGGCUUUCUGGCGCAUAACUGACGCUGAGGCUCGAAAGCGUGGGGAGCGAACGG